rfam:Desulfuromonas acetoxidans DSM 684 ctg25, whole genome shotgun sequence.
GCCGUUAUAGCUCAGUUGGUAGAGCAACGCACUCGUAAUGCGUAGGUCGCUGGUUCGACUCCAGUUAACGGCU